rnacentral:lncRNA from 1 species
GCAGCAUCCCUGGGGAGUGAUCUGAAGCUGGCGAGGCAAUGAGAACACCCUGGCAGGGCAGCUGAGCUGGGUGGAUCCUUGUUCUGUCACCAAGCCUUUAAGUCAUAUGCUGACAUGUUACAGUCCUGCCUGGGACCCUGCCCACAAAUACUUAAGAUACACGACUUUGGGAAUCACCCAACUGAUGGAAAGAACCAGGAAAGGGGUCAGGAUCUGCACCUUGGCAAACUUUGAAGAACACCCAAUUUGAUGAAUGAAAACUCCUCACUUGUGCUCUGGUGGUGUUUUAGGACAAUGGGCCCCUCCUGGGUAAUAGUUAUUGAUGCAGUCUCUAUCAGUAACCACCCCAAGUUUGAGAUCCUUUACAAGGGAAGGUCAUAUUUCCAAAACUGAAACCUUGACCAAGUAUCCCAGAGAGAUAGGAAGG